rnacentral:rRNA from 1 species
UACGUAGGGUGCAGGCGUUAAUCGGAAUUACUGGGCGUAAAGAGCUCGUAGGCGGUCUGUUACGUCCGCUGUGAAAACCCAGGGCUUAACCCUGGGCUUGCAGUGGAUACGGGCAGACUAGAGGCAGGUAGGGGAGAAUGGAAUUCCCGGUGUAGCGGUGAAAUGCGCAGAUAUCGGGAGGAACACCGGUGGCGAAGGCGGUUCUCUGGGCCUGACCUGACGCUGAGGAGCGAAAGCGUGGGGAGCGAACAGG